AGAGUUUGAUCCUGGCUCAGGAUGAACGCUGGCGGCGUGCUUAACACAUGCAAGUCGAACGGAAAGGCCCAAGCUUGCUUGGGUACUCGAGUGGCGAACGGGUGAGUAACACGUGGGUGAUCUGCCCUGCACUUCGGGAUAAGCCUGGGAAACUGGGUCUAAUACCGGAUAGGACGAUGGUUUGGAUGCCAUUGUGGAAAGUUUUUUCGGUGUGGGAUGAGCUCGCGGCCUAUCAGCUUGUUGGUGGGGUAAUGGCCUACCAAGGCGUCGACGGGUAGCCGGCCUGAGAGGGUGUACGGCCACAUUGGGACUGAGAUACGGCCCAGACUCCUACGGGAGGCAGCAGUGGGGAAUAUUGCACAAUGGGCGCAAGCCUGAUGCAGCGACGCCGCGUGGGGGAUGACGGCCUUCGGGUUGUAAACUCCUUUCGCUAGGGACGAAGCGUUUUUGUGACGGUACCUGGAGAAGAAGCACCGGCUAACUACGUGCCAGCAGCCGCGGUAAUACGUAGGGUGCGAGCGUUGUCCGGAAUUACUGGGCGUAAAGAGCUCGUAGGUGGUUUGUCGCGUCGUUUGUGUAAGCCCGCAGCUUAACUGCGGGACUGCAGGCGAUACGGGCAUAACUUGAGUGCUGUAGGGGAGACUGGAAUUCCUGGUGUAGCGGUGGAAUGCGCAGAUAUCAGGAGGAACACCGAUGGCGAAGGCAGGUCUCUGGGCAGUAACUGACGCUGAGGAGCGAAAGCAUGGGUAGCGAACAGGAUUAGAUACCCCGGUA
rnacentral:rRNA from 1 species